AUGUGCAUUAUUUUUUCAAAAUAGUUAAAAAUUUCUCAUUUCACUAUAAUUGUUUCUGUUAUAUUUUAUAAUUCAUUCGUCAUCUUUCGCCAUCUACUCUCUUUUCACCUUAUAUUGGCUCAGAUAUAAUAUAUUCAAC
rnacentral:sRNA from 1 species